GGCAGGUAGGUAGGUAGGUAGGUACUCACUCCUGUUGGGGGUUAAGGCGGUGCCGUUCGCGAUGACGCGGCGGUUCGAGGCCCCUGCGCGCCCC